rnacentral:lncRNA from 1 species
UGUAAGCUUACUGUUGCUCUUUUUUUACAAUUUUUGUUUGUACAUUAAAUUUCUGGCAAAUUUGUCAAUUGAAUGUCUCGUUAGUUUCAUUUUUUCAUCUCUUAACAACGGGUUAACAUGAAAUUUGGCAUCUUCUGUUUUCCUUCAGGAAAGUCAUAUCCCAAAACUUAUUACACCUGCAGAAAAGGGAAGGGAUCUAGAGGCACGGCUCAUAGAAGCUUAUAUUAUCCAGUGUCAGGCUGAAGCUCAAGAAGGUAUCCUAAAUAUUGUAAGAUUUUUCUUGUUUUUAUUUUGGAGAAAGUCUAUAUUUGCAUUUAAUUAAUCUUUUUUAAAUAAUCAGAAUUAGCUGCAAUUGAGUUUCAGUUUUUAGAAAUUUCAGGAGGAAUAAUUCUACCUUUGACAUUGAACUAGCAGGAACAGAUCUUACAACUUAAUGACUCUUUUUUUAAAGAGGAUUUUCAUUCCCUGCCAUUUCUGACAGUACAAAACUAGUUCUUUAACUCUUUGUUUCCCCAACUACCACGUUCAUUCUUUUUUCUCUUCCACUGUUUGGUUUAGUUUGAAGUCUUUAUCUUUUCAGUGGCAAGAAACAGUGGGACUUAUGUGAUAACAGGAAACAACUUUCUAAGCUUUUGGAUUUUUUCCAAAUGCCAGUGCUCUGAAAGUAUGUUUUAUAUCAAUCUACAUUGUAGUAAUUCUCUGCAGUUAACUAGUAGUUGGCUAUUGAUUUAUUUAAUGAAAUGGUAACAGAACCAACAAGCUGUGUUUUCUGUUUGUAUUUGCAUUUUCUAUUCUUUUCAUAGUAAAACUUAACAAUAAUUGUUUGAAAACCCAAAAAGAUUAUCAGACUUUCUUUUGCUAUUAAAACUGAACUUACUCUGAGUGGAAAAGAAUGUAAUUAUAGGUUCCUUUUAUUGUGUGUUGGUUUUAGUAACAAUUGCCCGAGCAAUUGAACUUAAACAUGCUCCUGGACUAAUUGCUGCACUGGCAUAUGAAACAGCCAAUUUUUAUCAAAAAGCUGGUAAGCUAAUUCUGUUGUUAUACUUUUAUUCUUUAUAUUUUCAGAUUUAUUUGCUUUUGAUUGAAUAGGAAACAGAACAAAAAGAUUCUAAGUUUUCCAUUAUUUGCAAAACUAGAAUCGUAUCUUCAUUACUUCAUUGAUGUUUAAAGAAUUAGAGUUGCUCACAGUUAAUAUGCUACAUAACUUUUAAUGGAAAGGACAGUGCUGUACUUUUUAACCAGUCAUCUAAUAACUAUAUGGUCUUUUGCUUUUAAGUUUUUGAUCUUUACUGUAAUCUUGUAAUUACUAUCCUUUCUUAGAUGAGAAACAAACCAAAGAGUUAACAUGAUCAACCCAAAACUUAACUGCUAACAGGUGGGAGGUUGAGACCAGAACACAUUUCCUCUAAUUAUCCUAUUAUUCUUUUCAUUUACUAAUUUAAGAGCUUUGCAUGUGUUUCUUUUUAUGAGAUGGUUACUAUUUUACUUGCUGAGUAGAGAUAAGUUGAAUAAAUUCACAGCUGAGGGGAGUAGACAAACAUGUAAUUAUAUUAUUGUAUCAUGAGUUUUAUGAUGAUGUUACAGCAGUGAGAUGAGAACCUCAACAGUCUGGGCAUGCUAGAGAAGGCUUUCUAGAGGAAGGUUACAUCUUAGUCUCAUUUUGAAAUAUACAUAGAACUUUUUGUUAUGUUUCUUAGAAAGCAUUAGUGUGUGAGAAUAGAACAUUUUAUGCUAUUUACAAUUUUAAGAAAGAACUUAGCACAUUUUGGCACUUUCAGACAGUUGUAGCUGAAACACAGAAUGAGUAAAACGAGAAGAGAUUGGGAAAAUACAUUUGUGUGAGAUAAAGAAGUGGUUUAUAAGCCUACCUAAAAAGUUUGGCCUUGAUUCUGUAGAUAUUUGGAAUCCAUUUUAUCUUAACCAGUGAGUCUGACUGGAUUUGAUUUGAAUUUAAGAAAGAUCUUUCUGGUUGCAGUAUGAGAUAGGCUUGCUGCAUGAAGUAGUAGGCUGACUUAGCACUUAAGAAGAAAUUCUGCCUUUGGAAAAGGAGAAAAUUUGGAAGCAACAUUAUUUAAAAUUCUUGGUCCAUAUCUAUUUUUAUCUAUGUUUUUGUCUUAAUCAUCAAAUCAAAGAAAUGCCAUGGUAUUUAACUAACCCUAUUAUGUAGCUUGAAAUAUAAUUAUGGGAAGCUAAGUCAUUUUUAAUAAAGAAGGUUUUUUAAAAUCUAUAAAUGCUUGAGUCUUAGACUUGAAUGGCAUUCUGCUUUUAGCAUGAAAAUACAUGAACUAAAAGUCUUCUAGUGAAUCAGGGUGAAAUUAUGUUUUACUUUUUAAAAUGUAACUUUAGAUCAUACUUUAUCCAGUUUGGAGCCUGCAUAUUCUGCAAAAUGGAGAAAAUAUCUUCACUUGAAAAUGUGUUUCUACACAGCUUAUGUAAGUAUUAAUAGCCCUAAAUAUGAUGUAAAUUACUCUCUUUCCAUCCCCUUAAGUGCCAGGUCUCUCAUCUUACCAAAGUCUUAGCAAUUUGCAAAUAACGAGCAGUUCUGAGUAAAUGUUCACUGACAUUGUAGCCAUUGUGAACUAACACAGGUGGAAAGAGAUGAUGUAGAAUUGUAGACCUAGAUUAUAGCAGUGGAGUUGCUGUUUGAUUCAAAACUCCCUAUAGCCUUCUAUGUGCUUAACAAAAAUUUUCUCAAGUACAGUUGACUAAGUCUAGUCUUAAGGCAUAUCAUAUACUAUACAUAUCACCUAGAUUGGUGAACCAUUACUACACACUAUUUAUCUGCUUAUUAUACCCACCAAA